ACAGAGGGUGCGAGCGUUAAUCGGAUUUACUGGGCGUAAAGCGCGCGUAGGUGGUUAAUUAAGUCAAAUGUGAAAUCCCCGAGCUUAACUUGGGAAUUGCAUUCGAUACUGGUUAGCUAGAGUAUGGGUGAGGAUGGUAGAAUUCCAGGUGUAGCGGUGAAAUGCGUAGAGAUCUGGAGGAAUACCGAUGGCGAAGGCAGCCAUCUGGCCUAAUACUGACGCUGAGGUGCGAAAGUAUGGGGAGCAAACAG
rnacentral:rRNA from 1 species